ensembl:lncRNA
CGCCACAAUCUCAACAAUAUCAUUUCUGAGUAUAAAGGAAACCCUGUUGCUGAGGGAGCUUGAGUAAUCUGAAUAGUUUUCUGUCAUUAGACAAUACGUCAGCCUCAUUAGAAUCAAGCAUUCCCAAGAGGCUUCAGACUUUGCCCACAGCAGACAGGAAACCCUCUCUGAUCACAUAAACAGGGAACACUGAAACCAAAAACGGAGAAUCCAACCAAAGGUCUUUGCGAGGCAACGCUUCCCUCCCUAAGGUUUCUAUUUUGUCUUCAUAUAAACAUGGACCCAUCAUUAUGAUGAGGGACUGCUUGGAGGCCUCGACAGAAUCCACAUGAUUCCCAGUGCAUGAGAUGGUGCUGAAGGGGAAGCUAAUCCUCACCCUGUCAUCUCCCCCAAAACUUCCACUUCCAGAUGUUUCCUGUAUUGUCACUCAUGUCUGCUUAUACGAGGGCCAAAAGGCUUUAGUAUGAAGUUUACAUUGUCUGAAAUGUCUUCUCUUUGAAUUUUGAA